rnacentral:rRNA from 1 species
AUUGAACGCUGGCGGCAUGCCUUACACAUGCAAGUCGAACGGCAGCGGGGGAGAAGCUUGCUUUUCCUGCCGGCGAGUGGCGAACGGGUGAGUAAUACAUCGGAACGUGCCCUGUAGUGGGGGAUAACUAGUCGAAAGAUUAGCUAAUACCGCAUACGACCUGAGGGUGAAAGUGGGGGACCGCAAGGCCUCAUGCUAUAGGAGCGGCCGAUGUCUGAUUAGCUAGUUGGUGGGGUAAAGGCCGAACAAGGCGACGAUCAGUAGCUGGUCUGAGAGGACGAUCAGCCACACUGGGACUGAGACACGGCCCAGACUCCUACGGGAGGCAGCAGUGGGGAAUUUUGGACAAUGGGCGAAAGCCUGAUCCAGCAAUGCCGCGUGUGUGAAGAAGGCCUUCGGGUUGUAAAGCACUUUUGUCCGGAAAGAAAUGGCUCUGGUUAAUACCUGGGGUCGAUGACGGUACCGGAAGAAUAAGGACCGGCUAACUACGUGCCAGCAGCCGCCGUAA